rnacentral:rRNA from 1 species
GACGAACGCUGGCGGCGUGCUUAACACAUGCAAGUCGAACGGCAAGGCCCUGCUUUUGUGGGGUUCUCGAUUGGCGAACGGGUGAGUAACACGUGUGUAACCUGCCCUUGACUUUGGGAUAACUUCAGGAAACUGGGGCUAAUACCGGAUAGGAUCUCCUGCUGCAUGGUGGGGGUUGGAAAGUUUCGGCGGUUGGGGAUGGACUCGCGGCUUAUCAGCUUGUUGGUGGGGUAGUGGCUGACCAAGGCUUUGACGGGUAGCCGGCCUGGGAGGGUGACCGGCCACAUGGGGACUGAGAUACGGCGCAGACUCCUACGGGAGGCAGCAGUGGGGAAUAUUGCACAAUGGGCGGAAGCCUGAUGCAGCAACGUCGCGUGCGGGAUGACGGCCUUCGGGUUGUGAACCGCUUUCGCCUGUGACGAAGCGUGAGUGACGGUAAUGGGUAAAGAAGCACCGGCUAACUACGUG